rnacentral:rRNA from 1 species
GUCUAUGGCCAUACUACCCUGAAUGCGUCUCAUCUGUCUGAUCUCAGAAAUUAAGCAGGGUCAGGCCUGGUUACUACUUGGAUAGGAGUUUUCCUUUGUAUAAUAAUCCAAAUAUU